CUUCCCUUGAUUGAUUCUCCGGAAAUAACCAGGAAUAUGUUUUGCAAUACGAGUGCUCUUUAAAGGGAAUAUAUUGAUAAAGGAGUACUCCAAAAGUACGUCCGUUAUUUUAAGGUUAAGAAUCUUCAGGAAAGAAAAUUCUCUCAUAAAGUUUUUAAUCCUGUGCGGAUAACUGUUUUGUGUAAUGCAUUUGCACAUGCGCGACCAGCUUGAUUCCGUUCCUACUUUCCACCGGCCUCGAAUCCGGUAUAUCCGCACUUCCUUUAUCCCCACUGUAUCUAACUGAGCGCGUGUGCGGUCGACGCGUCAAUUAUAUCUGAAUCGAAGGCGACGUCUCAUCGUGAUUAUACCGCAGAAAUAAAAGUAUCCUGGCUUUUCGUCAAUGAGUUCAAGUGUUUGGAUUUGUUUCUACCAUUUUGUGCAAGUAUUAAUGUUAUAGAUCAAUUUUAGAUCCUAAUUUACUUCAUUUGAAGUGCAUAUAACAUGUAUAAUAUACAAUUAUAUAUUAGCAACCCGGAUCUUAAGUAUAGAAAACAAAAUCGAUAUAGAAGUUAAGAUAAUCUUACUU